AACCCCUGAAAUGACAAACACAUGCAGCACUGUUGAAAUUAAAGGAAAAGUUUUUAUUUAUUAUUAUUAUUAAUUUAAUUUUUUUUUUUGAGCCGGAGUUUUGCUAUUGUUUACUGAGGCUGGAGUGCAAUGGCACGAUCUCGGCUCACCGCAACCUCCGCCUCCUGGGUUCAGGCAAUUCUCCUGCCUCAGCCUCCUGAGUAGCUGGGAUUACAGGCACGCACCACCGUGCCCAGCUAAUUUUUUGUAUUUGUAGUAGAGACGGGGUUUCACCAUGUUGACCAGGAUGGUCUCGAUCUCUUGACCUUGUGAUCCACCCGCCUCAGCCUCCCAAAGUGUUGGGAUUACAGGCGUGAGCCACCGCGCCCGGCCAAGGAAAGGUUUUUAAGAUGAAGGAGGAGAUGGAAAGGGUGCUGAAGGUUGGAGAGAAUAUUAUACUGAGCAGACUGGCGAGGCUGAGAGUGGGGAAGAGUAAAAACAUUAGUGUAACUUCAACAAAGUACCUCCAUGUUCAUGGAUCUUCCUGUUGCUGCCAGCAAACCUCCUUCAUAGAAUGGGACAUUCCCAAUAUUCCAUGGUUUGUGCUGGGAAUGAAUGAAACAGAUUGAUAUAUUAUUUCCCAAAUAAAUGAAAUAGAGUAGAAAAGCACACAGCAAGCUGUAGGCCUAGCAAAGCUGAAAGAAUAUUUCAGUCAACAUCUGAUAUGCAAAUUACUAUUUACAACAAACUUAAUAAACAGGCACUCCUCCCUUCCCAUUUUCUUUCUUUUUUUUGCCCUCUUUUUUUGUUUUUGUUUUGAGACAGGGUCUCCUUCUGUUGCCCAGGCUGGAGUGCAGUGGCGCAAUCACAGCUCACUGCAAGCCUCAACCUUCCAGGCUCAGGUGAUCCUCCUAUCUCAGACUCUGUGUUAGCUUAGACUAUAGGCAUGCGCCACCAUACCUAGCUAGUUUUUUGUAUUUUUAGUAUAAACAAGGUUUUGCCAUUUCCUCAGGCUGCUCUCAAACUCCUGAGCUCAAGCAGUCCACCUGCUUUGGCCUCCCAAAGUGAUAGGAUUAGAGGCAUGAGCCACCACACGCAGCCUUUUCUCAUUUCCUAAAGGAAGACAAGAUCUUUCAAAAAUAUCUACAAAAAGCUUAAAAACCUCUGUUGCACUUUGAUAAUUAGAACUUUGAUAAAAUAGUAUAGAUAGUACUUUGAUAAUUAAAUGUAUAUUGGCUAGGUGUGAUAAUUCACACCUGUAGUCACAGCACUGUGGGAGGCCAAGGCAGGUGAAUUGCUUGAGCUUAGGUGUUCAAGACCAACCUGGGCAACAUGGCAAAACCCCAUCUCUAAAAAUAUAUAUAUAAUAUACAAAUUAGCCAGAUGUGGUGGCAUACGCCUGUAGUCCCAGCUACUUGGAAGACUGAGGUGGGAGAAUGGCUUAAGCCCAGGAGGCUGAGGCUGCAGUUAGCUGUGAGACUGCCACUCCACUCUAGCCUAGGCAGCAGAGCAAGAUCCUGUCUCAAAAAAAAAAAAAAAAAAAAAAGGUGGUUAUCUUGGUAGGAAUAAACUGGACACAGGUCAGACAAGAGUUACAAGGGUAUACUGUGAGACACCUGGUCACGGGUCAAACAUUUGAGCAUCAGGCUGUGGGUCAGGAAAGAAAUGUCCUGAGAAAGGCAACUGUAAAGGCCUACAAGCCCCUUCCUUAGAGCCCCAUUAGGGCGAGGCUAGAGUUCAUAGUCAUUCUCCUGAAAGAGACCUCAAGAUCCAAUUAGAAGAAAACUAUAAUAUUUAAAGAAGCCAUUUUCCAAAGAGAAGUUCAAAGAAAAAUAUAUAGUCUUCCUUUGGAUAUAAAACAAAAUCUCAAGAUACGCCAAAACUAUUUUGCUUUUACUGAAUAAUUUUUGUGCACAUGUGUUGUUACUUUGGCUGCAAGUGGCUAACAAGCUCUGAUUUUCUUUCCUUUUUUUUUUAUUUUGAGACAGAGUCUUGCUCUGUCACCCAGGCUGGAGUGCAAUGGCCUUAUCUCAGCUCACAGUAACCUCAGCCUCCCGAGUAGCUGUAAUUACAGGCAUCCACUACCAUGCCUGGCUAAUUUUUAUAUUUUUAGUAGAGACAGGAUUUCACUAUGUUGCUGAGGCUGGUCUCGAACUCCUGGCCUCAAGUGAUCCACCCACCUUGGCGUGCAAAGUACUUGGAUUACAGGCGUGAGCCAUGCUGCCCAGCCAACUCUGAUUUUCUAACUUUCCCCAUGUAUUAGGGUCACACUGGGAAAAAACAGGUUAGAGCCAUCGGAGCCGCGUGUACAAAUGUGCAGUAGCUUUGCUAGCAACACUGCUGCUUGCUUUGGCUCUUAGGACAGAUGAGUUCAGCACUUGUCUACCCUUGCUCUAGCUGUCACUGUGUCCCCCCAACAGAUGCACAAUCAUUUCACUCUGUUAGUUCACUUUGGAUAUCCUACCAUUAGAUUAAAACCAGCAAGCCAAAAAGCGUACUUGAGGAAAUGCAUUCACAUCCACAGUGUUUUCAUAGGGUCAGUAUCAUGUACACAGGACAGGACUGUGGUUGCAGGGGGCAGAAUGAAGUGUCAUCCUUAACUGGCCAUCCAAUGUCAUCAGCAUGAACAGGAGGACUUUAUCGGAUAUUAUCUGAUGUUUUCUAAAUAUUACCUUACAAAUCCUCCUUUAUUUAUAACUUAAGGACAGGGACCCUUUAAAGGGACCCUAUAAAGUUUUAAAACUUUAUAUAUCCUCAAGUAAAGGUUUUUCAUAUUAAAUCCAUUAAUAAUAUCUAGUGGCUGACCUGGAAAUUCCAUUUCUAGGCACUUAUCCAAGAAUUUUUUUUUUUGAGACAAGUCUCAAUCUGUGGCCCACACUAGCGUGCAGUGAAGUGAUCAUAGCUCACUGUAACCUCUGCCUCCUGGGUUCAAGCGAUUCUUGUGCCUCAGCCACCCAAGUAGCUGGGAAUACAGCACAUACCACCACACCUGGCUUUUUUUUUUUUGGUAUUUUUGGUAGAGACAUGGUUUCACCAUGUUGGCCAGGCUGGCCUCAAACUUCUGGCCUCAAGCGAUCCAUCCAACUUGGGCCUCCCAAAGUGUUGGGAUCACAGGCAUGAGCCACCGAGCCAAGCCAGAGAAUUUUGAAAGUAUGAAGUUGUAUGCAGAAGAAUGUUUCUCAAAGACAAAAAUAAAAAAAUCUGAAACUAAUGUCUUGUUGGUUGAUGUAUAAUACAAUACUUUGUAAUAGGAAAGACAUGCAACAUUGAGGGAGGCAGGCAAAAAAAAAAAAAGAAAAAGAAAAUUACUAUUAGGACUUAAAGCUAUUUCUCCCUGUCUGUUUUCCAUAUGCAGAACAAUGCAUAUGUGACCACAGUACACAUAUAAUUUUGAAAUAUGUCCUUCACAGUUUGAUUUUUUUCUUGUCAUCAUAAACACAUGGCAUUUAAAUGUCCACCAAUUUUAUUCCACAGGUUGAGGGCUCAGUCCCCAAAACUUCUUACCUUUCAGACACCAGUCACAAGUCCCAGCCUCUGGAACUUCUGACUGAUGAGAUUGAUUUGUGGUUCCUACAACCCUCUCUUUAGGUUCAAUUAUUUGCUAGAAUAGAAUGGCUCGGCUGGGUGCGGUGGCUCACGCCUGUAAUCCCAGCACUUUGGGAAGCCGAGGCAGAUGGAUUGCGAGGUCAAGAGAUCGAGACCAUCCUGGUCAACAAGGUGAAACCCCGUCUCUACUAAACAUACAAAAAAUUAGCUGGGCAUGGUGGCGCGUGCCUGUAAUCCCAGCUACUCAGGAGGCUGAGGCAGGAGAAUUGCCUGAACCCAGGAGGCGGAGAUUGCCAUGAGCCGAGAUUGUGCCAUUGCACUCCAGCCUGGGUAACAAGAGCGAAACUCUGUCUCAGAAAAAAAAAAAAGAAAAAAGAAAAAAAAAGAAUGGCUCAUAAGUCUCAGAGAAACACAUUUACUGGCUGAUUAUAAGGAUAUUCCAAAGGAUACAAAUGAAGAGACGCCUAGGGUGAGCUAUGGGGGAAGGGGCACAGAGCUUCCAUGCCCUCCCUGGGCACGACCCUCCAAGAGCCUCCAUGUGUUCAGCUCUCUGGAAGCUCUCCAAAUACAUUCUUUUUGGGUUUGUACAAAAAGCUUCAUUACAUAGGCAUGAUUGAUUAAACCAUUGGCCACUUGCCAUCAACUUAUUCCGCAGUCCCUUCCACUCCCCAGGGGUGGGAGGGUAGGGCUGAAAGUCCGAACCAUCUAAUCCUGCCUUGGUCUUUCUGAUGACCAGCCCCCAUCAAAGCGAUUGGUCAGCCACGAACAUAUAAAAAGCCAAAGGCCAAAGGCUCACUGUAACCUCUGCCUCCUGGGUUCAAGCAAUUCUCCUAUUUCAGCCUCCUAAGUAGCUGAGAUUACAGGCACGUGCCACCAUGCCCGGCUAAUUUUUUGUUGUAUUUUUAGAAGAGACAAAGUGUCACUGUGUUGACCAGACUGGUCUUGAAUUCCCGACCUCAUGAUGUGCCCAGCUUGGCCUCCCAAAGUGCUGGUAUUAUAGGCGUGAGCCACUGCACCCAGCCCUGAGGAUUUAAUGCGAUACAGAUGUGGACACUGGCCCAAGCUUUUAUGCACCAAUGACAAGGCAAACCUCUGGUCCUAUUGGUACAAACUAUUGAUCAAGCCCCCAAUCUCAUUCCUAUCCCUAAAAUAGCAAAGUAAAAGAUCUUGUCACCUAUUUGGAUGAGAUUGACACCAUCCCAUAAACUGCAUGGCUUUCAAUCCCAGGGCUAUGGUGUGUGAUGCUACAUAGAAUAUGCACUAAUCUUCUCUUCAGUAAUUGAGUUGUUGGGAUAAAGGCUCUUGUCUUUGCCUCACUAGGCCAGCAGAGAUCUUAAAAGGAGACUCUGCACACAGGAUAAACAGCCAAAUUAAUACGAAGGUAGACAGGACAUAUAGGACACCCAGUCUUUAACCCCAGGGCCUCCAUUAUAUAGUUCAGUGGGAAGUACAGGUCUUUCCAAUGGGCUUGUGGUAGGCUGGGAUUGUCAGAAAAGGGAGAAAAAAUGUUCUGAAAACAACAACUUAAGGGAAGAAAGAAAAAACCACCUGCUCAGCGUGCUGACUCACGUUUCUUACCCCUUUGGGAGGCCGAGGCAGCAGAUCACUUGAGGUCAGAAGUUUCAGACCAGCCUAGCCAACAUAGUGACACUCUGUCUCUACUAAAAAUACAAAAAAAUUAGCCAGGCGUGGUGGCAUGUGCCUGUAGUUGCAGCUACUCGAAAGACUGAGGCACACGAACUGCUUGAACCUGGGGGUAGGGACAGAGCUUGCAGUGAGCCAAGACUGUGCCACUGUACUGCUGCCUAGGCAACAGAGCAAGGCUCUGUCUCUAAAAAGAAAAAAAGAAAAAGAAAAACCCCAAAGCACUUUGAGCUUGAGCUUGGUCUUCAGGUGCUCAGCAACCAUUCCUUCCUCUUUCUCUUUGUAACAGAACUGUUCAAAGAAACUAAGCUGGGUGGAGUGGCUCACGCCUAUAAUCCCAGCACUUCGGGAGGCCAAGGAAGGCGGAUCGCUUGAGUCCAGGAAUUUGAGACUAGCCUGGGCAAUAUGGCAAAAUCUCUACAAGAAAUGCCAAAAUAAGUCAGGUGUGGUGGCCUGCGCCUAUACUCCCAGCUGCUCUGGAGGCUGAGGUGGGAGGAUGGCUUGACUUGGGAAGGCAGAGGUUGCAGUGAGCCGAGAUCACGUCAUUGCAUUCUAGCCUGUGAGAGAGAAAGAGCCAAAACUUGACUUAAAAAAAAAAAUUAUACUAGCAUGGUGGUACAUGCAUGUGGUCCUAGCUACUCAGGAGGCUGAGUUGGGAAAAUCACUUGAGCCCAGGAGGUCCAGGCUACUGAACUCCAGCCUGGGUGACAGAGUGAGACCCUAUCUCAGAAAAUAAAUAGAAAUAGAAAUAAGGUGGGUUUUUUUUUUUUUUCUUUUUUGAAGAAAAAAAAAAAGAAACUGGUAAGACACUUACCUUAUUUUGAAACCCCAACGGGCCAGGUUGGAAUGCCCCACCUUUCAAGCCUGAGACUCCCACACAUCAUGCAGGCAGAAUGUCAGGGAAGACCAGAGAGUCCAGCACAGUCCUGUAAUUACAGGAAAGGGCCAGAAUCUAUCCUGAGCUCACAGAUGUCUCCUGGGAACAGAGUGGUGAAGUCACACCUGCACAAUCACAGCACACCCCCCCCGCCCCCCGUGCACACACAGUUGCUGUGCCAGGUCACGGGGUCAUUCAUAAUCCUGCAGACACACCAAGAGUGUUAGUCUCGCCAGUGCACCACAAUGUAGCAGUCUCUCCUUGUUCCCGGCAUCGCCUGGAAUUCUUUCUCUCAGGGCCGAGAAAAUUAAGGAGUGUGGAUACAAAGGAUGAGGUUGGAGCGGAAUUUUAAUAAGCAAAAGAAGAAAGCUCUCCGUAGCAGAGAGGGGACCAGAAAGAAGGUUGCCAACUUAGGAGGCUGAAUCUGGGGUUUUCAUGAACCGGGAAGGGGAGGAAUGUGCUUACUGGUCUGCGGGCUGUCUUGGAGAAAGCACUACUCAGCUUGGCCCUGGGACCUUAGCCCGGGACCAGACAAAGGCUGAAAUGAAAGUCUGGCCCAGGACUGAUCAAGGGCUGAAGUGAAAGCUUGGCCCAGGGCCAAUCAGGGGCGGAAGUGAAAGCUUGGCUGGGAGGAAUCAGGGACUGAAGUGAUAAUUCGUAGAGGCUCAGCUCACAGUCCAAAGCAUGUCCAAAGAAGGGAAGUGGCCACUGGAGCCUGUUAGUCCAAGCUGCAGUUUUGGAAGCCCCCGCCAUUUCACAGACCCUGGUCAGAGGGAAACAUUCCACGGGGGUUCGGGCUGUGAGAAAUAUCCUCCCCAACCGCCUGACUUCCUUAUCGCAUGCUGCUGGGCAAAGGCCCAAAAAACAUCCUUAUCAAUCUCCCAGGCAACAAGCCAUAACCGUGCAGAUCCCUCCUACCCAGGCCUGUAACAACUCCAGUCUGUUAGGGGCAGUGGUCUCUGGCAUUUAGCUGGUCCCCGCCAUUGAGCUGCCAACUGUCUCUGUUUUUAACCCUCGCCUUCCCUUCAAAACCUAACAGAGCCCACCGUGUACAUGCCCACGAAAGAAGCGACUAUUUCCUGGAAGCCCGCUGGUCACACGAAGGACAAAGGCGUUUCUAUGCUGGGCCUCUGUCCCUUAUCAGUGCAGCUGAGGAAUGUCUUUAGGACAACCCCCUGUGCUAGUUUUCCUUAUCUGUGCCUGCAGCCUGAUUUUUCAAGCAGUUUCUGUUUAAAGGCGUUUUACCAAGAACCCACCCACCCUAACUGCCUGUUUUUUUUUUUCUCUCUCAAGGGGACACACAAAGUCCCAAUCGCACACAUACCUCCCCAUAUCCACUUACCCAUUGCCUCACGGCCAUCACACUCUCCUCUCACACACACCAAGGGGCCACGCAAGUUGCACCUGCACAGCCACAGACCUCCAACUCACGCGCACACGGUACUGCACACACACGCAGUAACGCACCCACCCCGGGACACGCAGCCCCAACCACGCAGUCAGCAGAUCUCCACAUGCGCACGCACAGCGCGGCUCGUCCAGGAUACACUCAAACAUUCCGGGUGCGCAGUUACAAGCGCCCACCUGAUCACCCAGAGUCAGCAUCACACAGCCACAGUCACAGACCACGAAGACCCACGGCAACCAUCGCGAUCACACACGCAAACUCCUCUCCUCAUCCCUCCACACACAAAAGGACGGGAGCCGGAUUCCUCACCCUCAGCUUUCUCUAGUUCCGGUUGGGGACAGCCUGGCCAAGUUGCUCCAGACUCCAGGCGGCGGCGGCGAAAUCAGCACAGCCAACGGUCCCGCCACCUGGCUAAGAGGAAGCCUAAAUCUCGCGAGACUUCUCGCGGCCUGCGCUAUCCUCUGGGAAAUGUAGUGCAGAACCCUACUGCGGGCUUCCCUACUCCUCUCAUCGCCAAGCCGGGCUUGUUUCCAUGUACCGCUCCUCUGCACCGAGGAUCGCGAGCCCUCAUGCCUAGCGGCUCGCUAUGGGGCCGGCUCAUCCGCUAGAGUGGCCAGGCCUGAUUAUCCCUGGCAGCUCGAUUAUCUGAGCAGGAAUCGGGAGGGAGCUUCUUUUCCUGUUGUUCUGUUUUGGAUGCAUUUGAAGGAGAAAACCCACCAGAGAGGAUAACUUAAGGGAUGUGGAAAGUGAGUUUCUUUGUGCUUAUCAAGUGUGGUUGAUUUUUAAUCAGUGAGCAUUCGGCAUAUGUCUGGGACUCUGGCUUUAUUUAUCAGUUUUCUCACGCUGAACCUUUCAAUGAACUUCUGUGUAUUUGAUUCCUCAUGAGGAAAAUGGUGACACCGAGGGUGGCUGAUUUCCAGGUUUACAUCUGUUACCCCAGGAUUAGUGUCUGGCCUUCCUCUGGUCCUUGCUGCUCUAACUUUGCCCUGUUAAUGAAGAAAUGCGGCUAUAAACACUUCUGGGCGUUCCUGGUAUUUACUGUCCUCACAGUUCAGAGAGAAGCCCUGUCACAUUUUCAGCCUCUUCCUCUGCUUUCUGUCAUUUCUAAACCACCUCACCUGACCUGGUGUAACCUUCGUUGUGUGUCAGUUUGCGCAGAUGUAAUUUGGGCCUUCACUUCUCCUUAAAGCCUAAUACCCUCCUCCCACCUCCACCAAAAUCAAGCUUGAACCCACUACCCUCCGUCACCCACUGCAAGCUCGAACAUUUGAUGGUGGACACCCCUCCCUGACUUUGUAAUGUGGUGGGUUCUCUUGGGUCUUGUUCUCUGUGGGUCUGUACUGCACUCUAGUGUCCGCAGCUGGUGGGAUUUGCCCUGUUCCUGAAGGAGGGUCACAGGGAGUUGUUGAGCAGAGAGAGCCUGAUGUUUCUUAAGGCCUUCCCCUGAGAAGGAAGAGGCCAAACCUACACAGGCAAAUCUUGUUUGUUUAUACUUCUAGGUCCAGAUCUUGAAUGAAUCACUGUAGAAAUUGAACAGGUAAGGCUCACCUUACCAUAGUUACACCAAGAAAGGCCUAACUGGUGACUUAAGCCGUGGUUUUGGGUGGCACGAGAGUGGUCAGGGAGACAGUAGGGAAGUGUACACAUAACCGAAAGGGAAAAGAAAGCAGGCCCCUCAGAAAUGAGGGCAAAGUCUCACAGUGUCUCUUUCCCCAUGGUGUCACUGGCAUGUGGGUUACCUCCCCACUGUGUCCCCCAAGGACAUGAGGCUGCAGACUGCAGUGCCAGUGAGCAGAGGAGCUGUGGGGAUGAAAGUUUGAUUGCUGCAUUCAAACACACACCCCGGUGCACGUGCGUCUCUUCUGACACAGCACCCGAUGGGUGAGCUCUGCUUCUCCACACAGUGGCUUAGGAGUGGAAACAUUCUGUUUAGUGCUUGAUGGUUUGUUCUGACCUCAUGUCAUAGCGAUUAGCGCCAGUGACCCUAACAGUUUAAAGUGUUUGAGCUUGUGGGUAGGUAUUUGGGAGACAGUAUGUGUGUUACCUAGUCUUUGUCAUCUGCAGUGGUUUUGUUACUUUUCGCAUAAAUUGCUGAGAAUGUUUACUAAGGUAGAUGAUAGAGAAAUCACCAGUCACUCUAAAAUCCUCCCAUUUCUUGGUCUAGAGCUGCACUACUGGACCCCCCAGUAGUGAGGAGACCUGAAAACCAGAGAAGGCAAAGCAAGUAGGCCCUUUAGACCAGUUGUGUGUGUUCUCUUUCAGUUUACUCUGUUUUUAUUUUGUUCACAUCAUUUUAAGGGUUAUAAUCAUCUUGUUCAGAUCUCAGCGUAUCAAAUGACCCCUCUGUAGAUGUCAGGCUCCAACCGUACCCCAAGAGUUAACUGGUUUUCUUUCGAUUCUAGAUAACACUGGAGGGAAUAUUCCAGAUUCUCUGAGUAGUUUCCAGGUUGAAGUCCUGUAGGCUUCCUCUGUUUUGAGGAGGAGUUCCUAUCAGAGAAAGACCUGAUUUUGGAUUUUUAGCUUUAAUGCUUGUGAAAAGCUAUAAGAAGUAAUUUUCUACCCCUAGCUUUAAAGUACUGUUGGUUAGAAAUUAAAGUUUCUUCGGGAGAAUUAAACUGCCAUUUCAGUUACCCUAAUUCCGGAAGUUUUGGUCGUUAGAAUUUUCUUUAAUGUUCAUGAAGAAGUGUUUUAUAUUUUCCAUUAAGAUUGAUUCUCUUUAGCAGUUAAUUUUGAAAGUUGCUUUCUUAAACACCCAAAUUCAGUUUUCUCUCUGCUACGAUUUGACUUUUUCUUGGGACAGAGUCUCGCUAUGUUGCCUAGGCUGGAAUGCAUUGGUGUGAUCUCAGCUCACUGCAGCCUCUGCCUCCUGGAUUCAAGCAAUUCUCCUGUCUCAGCCUCCUGAGUAGCUGGGCUUACAGGCAUGAGCCACCACACCCCGCUUGUUUUUGUGUUUGUUGUAGAGGUGGGAUUUCACCGUGUUGGCCAAGUGAUUUGCCCACCUCCGCCUUGCAAAGUGCUGAGAUUACAGGCAGAAGCCACUGCACUGAGCCUCUGCUACAGAUUUCAACUUAACAUGAAAGGCCAUUUUUAAUGAACAAGGGCAAAGCACAGAGGGGGCAGUAGAGGGCACCGUCAACCCCAGCAUGGAAAUGAAGUUCCUGCUCCAAAAUGAACCAUCACAGCAGUCUCGGCUUGUUGAUCUGGACCCUCAAUUCUCUUAGGAUUUGAACCUGUGUUAGGGAGAAGGGGGCCUGUCUCUUAAGCCAGCCAGUUUUUCGUAUUCAGUAUUUAUGUAUCAUUUGUUCCUAAGUGUUUUCUCAUUUCUAUUACGGUGCAUUCUGUGGGCUGUCAAUGACUUCGCAGUAUCUUCUUCACAUGUUUAUAAAGCUGAGUAGUUCUUUCUUUUCUUUUCUUUUUUUUUUUUUUUUUUUAGAUGGAGUUUGGAUCUUGUUGCUCAGGCUGGAAUGCAGUGGCAUGAUAUUGGCUCGCUGCAGCCUCUCUGCCUCCUGGGUUCCAGCAAUUCUCCUGCCUCAGCCUCCCGAGUAGCUGGGAUUACAGGCAUGUCCCACUAUGCCCGGCUAAUUUUGUAUUUUUAGUAGAGACAGGGUUUCUCCAUGUUGGUCAGGCUGGUCUGGAACUCCAGACCUCAGGUGAUCUGCCCACCUUGGCCUCCCAAAGUGCUGGGAUUACAAGCGUGAGCCACUGCGCCCAGCCAAAGCUGAGUAGUUCGGUGUGUCAGUUCAGCACUCCUAGUGUCAGCCUCACUACUCUCCUGCUGUGUGUAGAUGGGGGCCUGUCCAUCUCCUGGGUCCCCACUGUCAGCACUGAAGGUACCCACCAGAUGUGUCUGUCACUUCCUUCCAUCCACCUCUAUUGUGGUUCUCAUGUUUCUGCCUCCCUAGAGACCAUUUCUCUCUAGAGCAGUGGUUUCCAAUAGAAAUACAAUGCCAGACAUACAAGUCAUUUUAGAUUUUCUAGUAGUCACUUAAGAAAGUUAGAAACAGGUGAAAUUAGUAUUUUAUUUCACCUAAAAUGUUACCAUUAUCCAAAAUAUCACUUCAACAUCUUAUCAAAAUAAAAGUUAUUAACGAGAUAGUUUACAGUCUUGUUUUUUUUUUCCCUUUUGAGACAAGGUCUUGCCUGGUUCCCCAGACUAGAAUGCAGUGAGUGGCACCAGCAUAGCUCACUGCAGCCUCAAACUCCUGGGCUGAAGAGAUCCUCCUUACUCAGCCUUCCUAGUAGUUCGGACUACAGGCGUACACCACCAUGUCCAGCAAAUUUUUUUUUUUAAAGACAGGGUCUCACUCUGUCACCCAGGCUGGAGUACAGUGGCACAAUCUUGGCUCACUGCAGCCUUGACCUCUGGGGCUCAAAUGAUCCUCCCACUUCAGUCUCCCAAGUAACUGAGACCAAAAACAUGUGCCACCAUGUCUGAAUAUUUUUUGUUGAGACAGGGUUUUGCCAUGUUGUCUAAGCUGGUCUUGAACUCCAGAGCUCAAGCGAUCCACCCACCUUGGCCUCCCAGCGUGCUGGGAUUACAGGUGUGACCCACUGUCCUCGGCCUAAUUUUUUUUUUUUCCUGAAGAGAUGGGAUCUUGCUGUGUUGCCCAGACUGGUCUCAAACUCCUGGCUCCAGCAGUCCUCCCGCCUUGGCCUUCUAAAGUGCUGGGAUUACAGAUGUGAGCCACCACACUGACCCAUUCUUUCUUUUAUAUGAGUAUUCAGAAUGUUUUAAAAAUGUGUUUUACACUUUCAGUACUUCUCAGGUUGGACUAGCCAUCUUUCACAUGCUCAGCAGCUACGUGUGACAAGUGGCUGUCUUAUUGGACAGCACAGCUCUGGAGAGUGAUUUUAUGUACAUCCCACUGCUCUCUGCCUUCUUUAUUACCUUCUACGCCCACAGCCCUGGAGUCUUACCAUCCUGUUCCUGUCUCCUCUCUGUCUCUUGUACUACUUUAAUAUGAAGAAUCAUUUCCAAUUCCUUAACAUCCUGCCCUGAUUUUUUCUGUCUCACGUUCGAGGGUCACAGUUUUCCUCUCAUCCUCAUUUUAGUACUUUCCCAGAAGAUGUGACGUACCUUUUUGUCUUGGUUGGGUAUUUAUUUGCAAUACAAGAACGAUUCUUUUCUUUGAUACAUUAGUGACUUACACACUUUCCUUGUUUUUUUGAGUACAUCUUUCCUGACAGAAUUUCAAAUUAUUUCUAGAGUUUAAUUAGAAGUUUUUUUGUUUGUUUGUUUUUUGAGACAGAGUCUCACUCUUGUCACCCAGGCUGGAGUACAGUGACGUAACCUUGGCUUACUGCAACAUCUGCCUUCCAGGUUCAAGUGAUUCUCCUGCCUCAGCCUCCCAAGGAGUAGCUGGGAUUAUAUAUGUGAGCCACCACAUUCGGCUAAUUUUUGUGUUUUUAGUAGAGACAGGGUUUUGCCGUUUUGGCCAGGCUGGUCUGGAACUCCUGACCUCAAGCAAUCUGCCCACCUCGGCCUCCCAAAGUGCUGGGAUUAUAGGCAUGAGCCACUGUGCCUGGUCUAGAAAGCUUUUAUUUCUUUGAGACGGAGUCUCGCUUUGUCCCCCAGGCUGGAAUGCAAUGGCACGUCUCGGCUCACUGCAGCCUUUGCCUCCCAGUUUGAAGCAAUUCUCCCUGCCUCAGCCUCCCGAGAAGGUGGGAUUACAGAUGCCUGCCACCAGGCUUGGCGGAAUUUUGUAUUUUCAGUAGAGAUGGGUUUCGCCAUGUUGGCCAGGCUGGUCUUAAACUCCUGAUCUCAGGUGAUCCACCCGCCUUGGCCUCCCAAAGUGCUGGGAUUACUUGUGAGCCACCGUGCCCAGCCAGAAAACUUACUUUAAAAAGUGUGUAUGGAGCCCUUAUGUUUCUGCUUGAUUUUUGAAAUAACAUAUUUAGGUCUUCUAUAUAUUUUAGGGUGUAAGAUCUCACUCUACAUGUUGCUUAGCAUCAUGGAACAUUUUUGGUAAUUAUUUUUAUUUUCUAUAUAUUUUAGAGUUUUCAUUAAUACAGAAUUUCAUGUUCAUAGCCUCGCCCGGUAAAUGUCUGAAAUCCUAGCACUUUGGGAGGCCAAGGCGGGCAGAUCACCUGAGGUCAGGAGUUUGAGACUAGCCUGGCCGACACGGUGAAAACUUGUCUCUACUAAAAAUACAAAAUUAGGCAGGUGGAUCACCUGAGGUCAAGUGUUCGAAACUAGCCUGGCCAAUAUGGCCAAACCUGUCUCUGCUAAAAAUACAAAAUUAGCUGGCGUAUUCCUGUAAUCCCAGCUACUUGGGAGACUGCACUCCAGCCUGGGCAUCAAGAGCAAAACUCUGUCUCAGAAAAAAAAAUUGGCUGUGUAUGGUGGUGGGUGCCUAUAAUCCCAACUACUUGGGAGACUGAGUCAGGAGAAUCACUUGAACCCAGGAGGCAGAGGUUGCAGUGAGCCAAGAUCACCCCACUUCACUCCAGCCUAGGAGAAAGAACAAAGCUCUAAAAAAAAAAUUUCAUAUUAUCUCAUAUCAAAAAUGAAAAUUUAUUUUUACAAAUUUCUAUUUGAGACUGAGUGUGGUGGCUCACGCCUGUAAUCCCAGUGCUUUGGGAAGCCAAGGUGGGUGGAUUACGAGGUCAGCAGAUCAAGAUCAUCCUGGCUAACAUGGUGAAACCCCGUCUCUAUUAAAAAUACAAAAACUUAGCCAGGCAUGGUGACACGCGCCUGCAGUCCCAGCUACUUGGGAGGCUGAGGCAGGAGAAUCACCUGAACCCGGGAGGCAGAGGCUGCAGUGAGCCAAUAUUGCCCCACUGCACUCCAGCCUGGGCAACGAGUGCGGCUUUGUUUAAAAAAAAAAAAAUUACUACUUGAGUGAUAGAAUUAUUUUAAUCUAAGAAAGGUUCAUAAAAAAUAGAUGUAGUGAUUGUAUUCUUUGCUGUGCUCAAAUGAAAAAUGAUGAGGGAACAGGAUGUUAAGAGUUGCAGUGAGAGAGGGUGGAAAGGAGGGAUCCAGAGCCAGGCACACAGGUUUUCUGGAAGGCUUACAUGGGACUGCUGGGGUCUGAAUGUGUUCCCUGGAGUUCAUGUGUUGGAAACUCAACCCCUAAUGCAACCAUGUGGACCAGCGGAACCUUUAAGGGGUGAUGAGGUCAUGAAGGCUCUGCCCUCAUGAAUGGAUGAAGGCAGAGUGGGUUAGUUGUCUCGGGAAGUAGGUUCCCGAUAAAAGGAUGAGGUUGGCUUCCUUCCCUUUCCCUCUUUCUCCCUCCUUCCUCACAUGUGGUCACUCUCGUGUUCUUCUCCCUUCCACCGUAGGAUGACACAGCGAGACCUUCACCAGGCGCAGGCCCCUCCCCUUUCCAGGGUCCAGAACUGUAAGCCAGAUAACCUCUUGCUUAUAAAUCACCAGUCUGUGGUAUUGUAGCAACACAAACGGACUGAGACAGGGACACUCAGAGGGCUCAUCUCUCUACUUGAUGGAGCACUCCCUGCGUGGUACCUUGUAUUCUUAGACCUGAUGCUGUAAAUGCUGUUCGAGUGCCUUGAAGGUUUUUAUGUUUGAGGAGUUUACAGAGAAGCCCCUGUAGGCUUCAGGUCCCUUCUGUUGCUUUGCUCUUUAGUACGUCCCCUACCCUGGUGUUAAAUUAGAUCGUAGUGUGGUCCUUGGACCAACACUAUCAGUAUCACCUGAAAAACAUGGUGGAAAUGCAGAUUCACAAGCUGCGCCCAGAACACUAGGAGCGAGACCCAACAGUCUGUACUUAACAAGCCCCUCAGGUGAGUCUGAACCACACAGAAAUUUGAGAUGCUCUAUUAGAUAGUUUGAGUUCGUGCUAUCCGAAUGACUGACAAGCAUGUCUGCUCACUGCUUGACGUUUACACAGGCCUCUGGAGCCUCCUGGAAUCCGCAGUCCCUGUUGUUCCCUCUGGGAGUUUUCUAGAAGCAUGUCUUUCAGAGCCCCGUGCCACCCAGGUUGGGCAUCUGGUCUAUAUUCAGCACUAGACUAUGCACUCUCAGCACCAAGCUAUGCAUUUGAACCUCAGCACUAAACUAUACAGCGGAACCCGCGAAAAUUGAAGAAAUCCCGCCAAGCCUUACCCAAUGGCAGCCCACCCCUCUAACUCCCAUAAAACCCCCCUGCCCUGAGAAGUCAAACGCAACUUCUCUGGCCCCUUUCCCCAGGACCACAGAACCUCGCCCAGGAGAUAAAUAAAUUGGCCUCUGAUUGUUCUUA